rnacentral:lncRNA from 1 species
CGCCGCUCUGAGCAGUGGCUCUGCGGCUCGGCUGCAGUAAUUAGGCUGAUGUAAUUAUAGCAAAACAAAGCAAGUUUAGGCUGAUGGUGGGUUUUUUUCCCCAUACAGUGGGAACAUUUAAGACAUAUGCAUAUUCCAGCGUACAAAAAAUGAACCUGCACCGCUGUCGGAGGCUAGGAGGACAGUGUGGCCAGUGCACCUAUUGUGUCACUGCUGUAGAAAGCAGCUUAGCGAUUGGCCACUGUCUGCAGCACAUAAUACUGACUGGUUAUAAAGGACUUGUCUAGAGGAAAGCCUGUAGGUACUCCAUUGUCUGGCAAAGUUGAUAUGACUGCAUUCUUUUUGCAGGGGGUCAGACAGCUGAACUGUAAAAGCUGCACAGAUUUUUUUUUUUUUUUUUUUGUCUUCUUCCUCUGUCUCUCUGUCUCUGUCUCUUCCAUACAGCAUUUUUCUUUCAUGCCCUGUCUCAGUUUGCAUAGUUAAAGAGAAUGCUAAUUAAGAUCCCUUGCCUUAACCUGAAAAUAGUGACUUGGAUGUAAAUAGAAAAUUGGCGAUAGUUUAAAAUAUUCUUGCGUAGCACCAAGAUAUCAGUUACCGUCCUAGGGGAAAAAAGGAAGAAUUAUUUUUUUUUGUAAUCAAGACGGAUCUAACAACGCAGUCUGGGCUCCGUGCCAAAGGCUGGUAUUUCACAGCAGCGACCGCCUUACAGAUGAGCUGUGGGAAGCAGGAGGGAGACUCUCUUAGGGUGCCACUACUAUGGAGACACAGCUGGGCUGAACAAGAUUUGCUUCAAACGACAACAAGAGAGACAGAAAGAGUCUGGUUCGACCGCUGCCCAAGCAGGCAGUAACCAGAAGAGCUAGCAGCCAAUCCGGCCAUGCUGCACUGUUCGAAACCAGCUCUACAUCCCAGCCAAUCAGUGACAUCACUGGACUGGAAAGAAACAUUUUCCACAGAUGCCAGCUUCUGUCUGCUGUGAUGCUCCACUCUGAGUGAUGCCAUGUUCACCACUGAGCAGUACUGGCAAAGGAGAGCAGCUUCUCAGAAUGAGUCUGCAGUCGCACGGCUGGUGGUGUGGCACAGACGGAGCAAGGGUUACAUCAAGGCUGUUCUCUGGACCGUGCAAACAGUCUAGACCAAUGACCUGCAGCAUCGUGCCCUUUGAAGAAGAGGCAAGUUCAGUCACGACGAAGAAAAAUCAAGGCGUACCCCUUUUAACAAUAGGGAGCAGCUCGUGGCUGCAAAGAGGUGUGCAGCUGCCAUUCCAGGUGUGCAGCUGCCAUUCCACCUCACAGCAGGGCUGUGUUUGCUGCUCCACAAGCUGCAGAAAAGGCAGAGAGAGAAAGGAACACAGAAAGACACCAAAGCUGAGAUCUUCAAAGUACCCAAACUCCAUCAGGAAAGUUUUUGGUACCUUGCUGGUCUGUGGAUCUGUGGAGUGA